CCGCUGGGGAACUGGGACUACAGCUUCCGGCGUGCACUGCGCUGGCAGGUGGACUGGAGCCUGGAUCCUCUGUGAGCUUACACAGCUGUGUCAAGCUGAGAUAUGGUAAAGAUAGUACCUGGCUACAUUUUAUUCUCAAAAACUUCUUCCUGCCUGCUGCAGCUGACCUCCAGGAUGCUCCUUGGUCUCCCAGGCAAGGUCCUAUGUAUGUGUGCUCUACCAUCUAUACACACCUAUGGUUUAACCUACUUCUCCCCCUCUGAUCAAUCACUUCUCUCUUCCCCUCUGCCAAUCCUCUACAGUACUUUUCAUUUAGCAUAUCUUUUCUAUUCAUAAAAUGAAAGAUAGCACCCAUCUUCUGCUGGCAAACCCACUCCUUGUCCUUUCUCCACCACCACUAAUCCUUCAAGCUGAUCUGCUCCUUUUUCCUCUCAUAUAAAAGCUAGUUUUAGGUCAUGGCUGCUCUUCUGUGAAGUAUUUCCAAUGACCUGUUUCCCCACCUCAGACCUUGUUUCCAAAAUUCUUCCCCAGACUUAGGUCACCUUUAGGCUGCAGAUGCUCAUAAAUUACCAGCUUCCUAGAACUUUCUCCCAGGGAAUCUUUAGUUUCUCCUUUCCACCCAUAGUUCAGGGUCUCUCUGUUCACCAGUUCAGGAGACAAAGUUUUCACUGCCCUCUUCACCCUUCUUCCUUACGAAUCAGGAGCAUCUCAUCACCUUUGCACCCCUUCUUGGAUGUUCUUGGGUUAUUCAUCCCUUUGGUUUCAGGCUUCACCUUUGGGGCCUGGCAUUCCUUUGCUGAUGCAUUAAUUUGGGAUUUAUGUCAAUCCCACACAUUCUGGUCCAGCCCAGCUUUCCUCUAAUAACUUCCUUCCCUUCUUCAUUCCCUUCUCCAGCUUUCCUCAGAGGACUUUCACUUGUGCUGCCCUUUUUUCUUUAAGCCUGAAACAACUGCACCCAUCUUGCGAGCCAAAUCCACACUGCCUUCAUUCAAAUUUCCCCAUAAAAUGUACUUUUGCCAGAACACCUAUCCAGCUCAGAUUCUUCUCCUGAAAUAUGUCCUGUUCCUCUAUAAUAAAAACAAAUCCUGUUUCAUAACAAAACAAAAAGAACUGAGCAAGAGACUGACUGCACAACUAAUUUUUGGCAGUUGCUUUCUGCCAAGAGCAACAUGCUUGUUCUUAUCCCACUCCUUUGGAUUGUCCUCCCCGUGUGCCUCCUGUUUGUCCUUUUGUUUUCAGCUUUUGAUUCCUUCCUGAGGGCUCCUGGCCUGAUCCUGUGCUCACACUGGUGUGAAGUGAGGAGUAGCUCCGCUGCAGCAAACAGAGCUAUGUCAAGGCGAAAUUUCUGUGGAAGACGAUCAUCCCUUUGUUUUAAUAUUAGCUAAUAAAGCCUGUGCACAGCUCCAGCACAGCGCUCUGGUUUUAAUUAAUAAAAAUUAGCAUAUACAGCUACACACACUCUUUCCCUCAGCUACUUUGAAGAAAACCCCUUUGUAUGUCUUCCUGGUUGCUCUGUGUAUUGACAUUAAAAAAACCCCAAAUGAAUAAAACCCCAAAACCAAAGUAGCAUCAAACUCCCACGCGAACAAAAGGCUUGGGUGCUGCCGGUGGCGGGCAGCGCUGGGAGCAGUCCCGGCCCCCGGCCCCUGCUCCCGCCGCCGGGGAGCCGCGCAAUUCCCAGCCCGCCGUCCCUUCCUCCGCCUUGCACAAUCCCACUGCAGCGACUUCCCAGUCUUAAUUGGAGCCUCUGGGCAUUAUUGUAUUAUUAUUAUUUAAUAAACAACCACAUAAAACACUGACAUUUAAAUAAAAGUAAAGAAAGGAAA